GAUGAAGAACGUAGCGAAAUGCGAUAAGUAAUGUGAAUUGCAGAAUUCAGUGAAUCAUCGAAUCUUUGAACGCACAUUGCGCCCGCCAGUAUUCUGGCGGGCAUGCUUGUCCGAGCGUCAUUUCAACCCUCGAACCCCUCCGGGGGGUCGGCGUUGGGGAUCGGCCCUUUACGGGGCCGGCCCCGAAAUACAGUGGCGGUCUCGCCGCAGCCUCUCCUGCGCAGUAGUUUGCACACUCGCAUCGGGAGCGCGGCGCGUCCACAGCCGUUAAACACCCCAAACUUCUGAAAUGUUGACCUCGGAUCAGGUAGGAAUACCCGCUGAACUUAAGCAUAUCAAUAAGCGGAGGA
rnacentral:misc_RNA from 1 species